rnacentral:rRNA from 1 species
AGAGUUUGAUCCUGGCUCAGGACGAACGCUGGCGGCGCGCUUAACACAUGCAAGUCGUACGGAGGGCUUCGGCCCUCAGUGGCGAACGGGUGCGUAACACGUGAGCAACCUGCCUGUGGGUGGGGGAUAACCCGGGGAAACCCGGGCUAAUACCGCACGAUGUCACCGGAUCGAUUGAUCGGGUGAUGAAAGGGGCUUAACGGCCUCGCCCGCAGAGGGGCUCGCGGCGUAUCAGCUAGUUGGUGGGGUAACGGCCCACCAAGGCAACGACGCGUAGCCGAUCUGAGAGGAUGAUCGGCCACAUUGGGACUGAGAUACGGCCCAGACUCCUACGGGAGGCAGCAGUGGGGAAUCUUGCGCAAUGGGCGAAAGCCUGACGCAGCGACGCCGCGUGCGGGAGGAAGCCUUUCGGGGUGUAAACCGCUGUCAGGGGGGGAAGAAAGGGCCGGGGAGGAAAUGCCCUGGUUUUGACGGUACCUCCAAAGGAAGCACCGGCUAACUCUGUGCCAGCAGCCGCGGUAAUACAGAGGGUGCGAGCGUUGUUCGGAAUUACUGGGCGUAAAGCGCGCGCAGGCGGCCCUUUAAGUCUACCCGUGAAAUGCCGGAGCUCACUCCGUGCACGCCGGGGGAUACUGGAGGGCUGGAGACAGGUAGAGGCAGGCGGAAUUCCGGGUGUAGCGGUGGAAUGCGUAGAGAUCCGGAAGAACACCAGAGGCGAAGGCGGCCUGCUGGGCCUUGUCUGACGCUGAGGCGCGAAAGCGUGGGGAGCGAACAGGAUUAGAUACCCUAGUAGUCC